ensembl:lncRNA
CGAGUUUAAUACAAACGCUCUACAUUAAUAGUCUCUAAAAUAUAUGUAAACAGGCCAUAAAUGUCUAAAUUGUUGUUUUCUUGGAAAGCUAAGAGGUCUGUUAUAUGAUGCAAUAUCAGUACUUGUUGCAUUUACAACUUGUCUAAAUCCAAUCAUCAACUGAUUUCAGACAGUGUCUGGUUGGAGAUGGACUGUGUUGUUUAAAUGGAAUGUGAGCAUAUUGGCAGUUAAUAUAAAACGUUUAUGGAAUCAAACCUCUAAAACUAGCUGGCAGGCUAACACACAUCCAGUGCAGAUCAUUUUUUUAAAUUCAUUAUUUGACACUAUCACUGGCAAACCAUGGUUGACAAACUCCCUGACCAAAAUGGCUGACCUUUAUCCCAUCACUUAUUUAUGUAUUUGACAUUUUGCAGGAGGAAAUCUCUUGAGAUGGUGCGUCUCAUUUUCAAGAGUCCAAAUGAAAAAAACUAAACAAACAAUACUUAGAAUAAUAUGGAAACUACUGUCUAAUAUAAUAACAAAAUAUAUAUUAUUACAUACAAAAAAAAACAACCUGCAUUAACAGAAUUAACUUCUGCUCCAACGACUAAUAAAACGAAGUACAUAUAAUAUAUACAUACAAAUAUCUUCACAUGGUGAUGUUCCUAUUAGCUAUUUAAAAAUAAACUGUUUGUUCUUAACAUUUGAAAAAUGACUCUUAAAUUCACUGUGUUUUUUCUACAGGUAUAUAAUUCCAGUCAGUUGGGUCUUUGUACCUGAAAGAUGUUACUCUAACCUCAUGAUGUACCCUUGGACUGUGUAAUGGCUGCUGUUGAAAUAAGUCAUGUGAGUCUGGUAAAGUUAGGUGUUCCUUAAAUUUAAGUUGAUACAAUUAAAAAUAAAUUGUGACCAAUGCAGUCGCCUUCUGUUUGGGAGUGACAGCCCAUUUAGUGAUUCAGACAAAGUGUCUUACAAUGACAUCAUACGAAGGUUCAUGUCCAUUCUAGUAUUCUAAUUCCUAACUCUGUUUGUAGCACCCUAAUAAUGGUGAGGUCACUUUCAAGUCAUUGUGAGAUCACUUCCUCCCCUUGGUCCACUUCCUACUGAGGGAGGUAGGGAGGUAACUCUCAACACCGGCUGGUGUCAGGGAGGUAACUCUCAACACCGGCUGGUGUCAGGGAGGUAACACUCUCAACACCGGCUGGUGUCAGGGAGGUAACUCAACACCGGCUGGUGUCAGGGAGGUAACUCAACACCGGCUGGUGUCAGGGAGGUACCUCUCAACACCGGCUGGUGUCAGGGAGGUAACUCUCAACACCGGCUGGUGUCAGGGAGGUAACUCAACACUG